AUACGGAGGAUCCAAGCGUUAUCCGGAAUCAUUGGGUUUAAAGGGUCCGUAGGUGGACAGAUAAGUCAGAGGUGAAAUCCUGCAGCUCAACUGUAGAAUUGCCUUUGAAACUGUUUGUCUUGAGUCAUUGUGAAGUGGUUAGAAUGUGUAGUGUAGCGGUGAAAUGCAUAGAUAUUUCACUGAAUACCGAUUGCGAAGGCAGAUCACUAAUAAUGUACUGACACUGAUGGACGAAAGCGUGGGUAGCGAACAGGAUUAGAAACCCUAGUAGUCC
rnacentral:rRNA from 1 species